CCCUUGAAACCUAGAUCAUUUUACCUUGCGCCGCCACUGUGCACACACGAGACGCUGAGAGAACGACGCCACAGAGAAGACCACACUCCUCUCCGUGGCGCUCAGCCAUUUCCUUACCACUUUGUCUCUCUUUUCUGUCCACCUUUCAGCGGGAUCAUGCACUAGUCGCAGUGGGGAGAAGAUCGCACAUGAAGUUAGCAUGGCAGUUCUUGCAGGCAAGGGAGGUGCCUCCACUCAAAUCCAGUCGAAUUUGGCGCCACAUCUACAAUCUGGGAUGUGUUUGCGAUUGGUGGAUGAUGGUCUCAUGGCCUGGGGUGGUGGAAGCGAGCUGCACGGCAGCAAACAGGAUAGCCAAGUGCCAAGCUUGAGUAAGGUUUCGAGAUCCCCGGCGAGGUCAAAGCGAACAAAUUUCAAGAAAUUCCAAGGAUUCCAGCCCCUUUUCCUAUCUGUUUCUUGGUGUUUUGAUGUGAUUUAGGAUACUGUUUUGUAGGUCUGGUGAACCUUUAGGAUCAUCGGUCAGGGGACGAGCAGGAUAUAGACCAGGCUUGCUAGCAAACCCAUGUGCGGAUUUUUUGGAUGCUCACCAAUCUGUCUCUUUGGUGCUGAACAAUUGUCAAUUGGAAACACUAUUUUUUGAGGGAUGAAUUGCUAUUUGGGUUGCCUUUCUACCGUAAUCAGUCUGGAACAUUGAUAAUUCUAGCAUUAAGUUUUAAUCACGUUACAUGAUCUGACACUAUUCAAAUUUCAAAGUACAUUUCUAAUUACUUUUCAUAGUAUAAAACCGUUUUGAUGUAGGAGCUUCACCUAGAUGUAAUGCACUUGUGCACAUCUGUUUUAUUCAGACUCUCCAGGAAUCGUAUGAUAAAUGGAAGAAGCAUGCUCAAAAGCUGAUGACACCCGGUAAUCUUUUUGGCCUUUAAGCGGCAAUGAUCAUUUAGCCAUACCAUUCUACCAGGAUUGACUUAUGAAAGCGUGGACCACCAGAAUAAGUACAAAUAGUUGUAUACCUGAAUGUUGGUGAUGGAUAUCCAGAAGAAUUAGAGAAAGGUUAUCAGUGAGUACCAGCAUCGUGAGCGAUGGAGCAUCAAGAGAUCAAUAAGAAAACUAAUAUUUAGUUCUAUUUUAUUAUGCCAAACAUAGUUGUAAACUUGCAAUUGCAGAUGAUGCCUUUGUUCUGUUGUGAUCAUGUUUAUUUUUUGUAGUAUUUUGGUCAUUGUGUUCUUACUUUGGUUGAGACACAUUUAAAGUUAAUGAAGGUUUGAGUUUUUAUA